GGCUCCUUGCUGCUGUUAACCCAGCUACCUCUCUGGAUAACAUUGUGGGAAGAUGCCUAAAAGGAAUUUGUAGAAUGUGGUUUGCAAACUUUCUUUAUAUUCGUCACUGAUCAUUUUCUUUAAGCAGCUUUCUCCAGGAGUGACUCUUUAUGAGCCCAGCCAGGAGAGAACAUUUGUGGAUGGACUUUUGGAGUGACCCUGAACCUUCCAAGCCCUGGAAGAUUUUCUGUCCUCAGGGAAUGUGAGGAAGCGUGGCGACAAAUUGAGAGACUUGUAUUACUCCAGGAAGAAAAGAUAAUUCCUGUGUUAAUGUAGAACCUAUGAGGACCAGCUUUGUUAGCACCUCUCUCUAUCACAGUGCACCUGUUCUUAACACAUGAUGAGAGGUUUGUGAAGACUGUGAUGAAGCAUCCAUCAAAAACUUGUUGCUUCAUGCUGUGUGACACAUUUAUUGUACCAGGAACGAAACAGAGAGAAGGAAUUUGGUUGUUGUGAUUAUGAAAUCCAGAACCUGGUUCUAUA